rnacentral:lncRNA from 1 species
UAUUUAACAAUUUUUAAAAAUUUUUCUGCAUAUUUAUUUAAUAAAAAUGUACCGAAUUUGUCUGAAUUAUAAACUAUUUUAAAUUAACUAUUCAAUCGGUCAUAAUAAUUUUAAGGGAAACUUCAAAUACCCCCAUGUGGUUUCGCACUUUCUCACUCUAGUACCCUGUGGUUUAAAAUGUAUCAAGUUAGUAUCUUGUGGUUUCGCACUUUCUCACUUUAGUACCUUGUGGUUUCAAGUGUAUCAAGUUAGUAUCCUGUAGUUUCGCACUUUCUCACUUUGGUACCCUGUGGUUUAAUAUUUCGUUAAAUUAUAUAUCCCGAAAUGGAUAAUAAAAAGAGAAAAUUGAAACCACAGGGUAUUAACUUGAUACAAAAUGAAACCACAUGGUACUAACUUGAUAUACUUUAAAUCACAGGGUACUAAAGUAAGAAAGUGCGAAACCACAUGGUGCUAACUUGAUACACUUUAAACCACAGGGUACUGAAGUGAGAACGUGCGAAACCACAGGGGGGGUAUUUGAAGUUUCCCCUUAAUUUUACUAUCCAACUUUUCAAUAUGUUAAAUUUGAUUCAGUCAACCACACUUUAAUUUUAAAAUUUAAGUUAAUUGCAUGAAAUUUACUAAUUAAAUAUGUAAAAAUAAACAACGCAACUAUAAAUUCUCGCACUAUUAAAUUAUCAAAGUAAAAAAAUUAGCUUAAAUUUUGAAACAAAAUGUUAUUGACUGACUCAAAUCAGAUAUAUUGAAACAUUAGAUAAUAAAAUUAAAUUUCGAAAAUGUCGGAUAGAAAACUCAAAAUGAUCCACAGUUCAAUAAGUUCUAUACAGUUUUACCUAUUUAUUAUUAAG